rfam:Ornithorhynchus anatinus chromosome 3, whole genome shotgun sequence.
CCCCUCUCAGGGUUGCACCUGGAGAGUUUCCAGAACUCCACCAGUCAGGGUUAGAGGAGGGAGAGUCAAGCACAGGAAUAUCUAUUCCAUUCCUAGCUUGGGCAGUGGCUAGCAAGUGGAAGGCAAUCUGCUACAAGU